GAUGAACGCUAGCGGGAGGCCUAACACAUGCAAGCCGAGCGGUAUUGUUUCUUCGGAAAUGAGAGAGCGGCGUACGGGUGCGGAACACGUGUGCAACCUGCCUUUAUCUGGGGGAUAGCCUUUCGAAAGGAAGAUUAAUACUCCAUAAUAUAUUGAACGGCAUCGUUUAAUAUUGAAAGCUCCGGCGGAUAGAGAUGGGCACGCGCAAGAUUAGCUAGUUGGUGAGGUAACGGCUCACCAAGGCGAUGAUCUUUAGGGGGCCUGAGAGGGUGAUCCCCCACACUGGUACUGAGACACGGACCAGACUCCUACGGGAGGCAGCAGUGAGGAAUAUUGGUCAAUGGGUGCAAGCCUGAACCAGCCAUCCCGCGUGAAGGACGACUGCCCUAUGGGUUGUAGACUUCUUUUGUAUAGGGAUAAACCUACCCUCGUGAGGGUAGCUGAAGGUACUAUACGAAUAAGCACCGGCUAACUCCGUGCCAGCAGCCGCGGUAAUACGGAGGGUGCAAGCGUUAUCCGGAUUUAUUGGGUUUAAAGGGUCCGUAGGCGGACUUAUAAGUCAGUGGUGAAAGCCUGUCGCUUAACGAUAGAACUGCCAUUGAUACUGUAAGUCUUGAGUAUAUUUGAGGUAGCUGGAAUAAGUAGUGUAGCGGUGAAAUGCAUAGAUAUUACUUAGAACACCAAUUGCGAAGGCAGGUUACCAAGAUAUAACUGACGCUGAGGGACGAAAGCGUGGGGAGCGAACAGGAUUAGAUACCCUGGUAGUCCACGCCGUAAACGAUGCUAACUCGUUUUUGGGCUUUAGGGUUCAGAGACCAAGCGAAAGUGAUAAGUUAGCCACCUGGGGAGUACGCUCGCAAGAGUGAAACUCAGAGGAAUUGACGGGGGCCCGCACAAGCGGUGGAUUAUGUGGUUUAAUUCGAUGAUACGCGAGGAACCUUACCAAGACUUAAAUGGGAAUUGACAGCUUUAGAAAUAGAGCUUUCUUCGGACAAUUUUCAAGGUGCUGCAUGGUUGUCGUCAGCUCGUGCCGUGAGGUGUUAGGUUAAGUCCUGCAACGAGCGCAACCCCUGUCACUAGUUGCCAUCAUUCAGUUGGGGACUCUAGUGAGACUGCCUACGCAAGUAGAGAGGAAGGUGGGGAUGACGUCAAAUCAUCACGGCCCUUACGUCUUGGGCCACACACGUAAUACAAUGGCCGGUACAGAGGGCAGCUACACAGCGAUGUGAUGCAAAUCUCGAAAGCCGGUCUCAGUUCGGAUUGGAGUCUGCAACUCGACUCUAUGAAGCUGGAAUCGCUAGUAAUCGCGCAUCAGCCAUGGCGCGGUGAAUACGUUCCCGGGCCU
rnacentral:rRNA from 1 species